GGGGCUAUAGCUCAGCUGGGAGAGCGCCUGGUUCGCAAUCAGGAGGUCAGGGGUUCGAUCCCCCUUAGCUCCACCA
rnacentral:tRNA from 1 species